GCCUCGGUAGCUCAGUGGAUAGAGCGAUCCCCUCCUAAGGGAUAGGUCGGACGUUCGAUUCGUCUCCGGGGCACCA
rnacentral:tRNA from 3 species